rnacentral:lncRNA from 1 species
GCAGCGGAUAUUAAGACAAAACUAAAACUAAAGGAUUCAAGUCAUAUAUUCGGAAUGCUCAGCCUCUUAUACAGAUAAGUAACAGACAUAAGUGCCACUAUAAGGCAUGAAAUUACAAAGGAAACAAAUUUAUAAUCCACAUUUCACGACACUCAGAACAGAAUUCUGUCCACACGUUAACCCCAUAUUUCUAACACAACCAAAACCAGUUUCACAGCAGGUGCAUGCAAUGGAGACAAUUUCCUGCAAAAGGAAUAAAGAAACGGGCUAAGAGUGAACACAAGGAAAAAUAUUGUUGUGAUUCAUUGAACGUAUAUUUAUAACUUGCAUGGUGACUAAUAGCAUGAGUUGCAUUGCAUAAAUUAUGAUUCAGAAACUUAGAUGGAAACAAGCAACUAAAAGCCUUGUACCAUUACCAUUAGUGGGUCAAAAAGGAACAAACUAGUACAAGUAAAAUGACUCAAAUCAUCUUACCCAAGAUAAAAUUCAGAUCAUAGGCAGAUCUUGCAAGUGGCAAAUUUAAAAUAAGGAUAUCAGAUGAACAGGAUAUUGUGUAGUUCAUCAAUCUUUUACAUUGUCUCAAUUCGGCGGUAGUGGAUAUGAUGAUAGGAAACCGAAUUUAU